AUCUACAGGCUUAACACAUGCAAGUCGAGGGGCAUCAGGAAGAAAGCUUGCUUUCUUUGCUGGCGACCGGCGCACGGGUGAGUAACACGUAUCCAACCUGCCCUUUACUCGGGGAUAGCCUUUCGAAAGAAAGAUUAAUACCCGAUGGCAUAAUGAUUCCGCAUGGUUUCAUUAUUAAAGGAUUCCGGUAAAGGAUGGGGAUGCGUUCCAUUAGGUUGUUGGUGAGGUAACGGCUCACCAAGCCUUCGAUGGAUAGGGGUUCUGAGAGGAAGGUCCCCCACAUUGGAACUGAGACACGGUCCAAACUCCUACGGGAGGCAGCAGUGAGGAAUAUUGGUCAAUGGGCGCUAGCCUGAACCAGCCAAGUAGCGUGAAGGAUGAAGGCUCUAUGGGUCGUAAACUUCUUUUAUAUAAGAAUAAAGUGCAGUAUGUAUACUGUUUUGUAUGUAUUAUAUGAAUAAGGAUCGGCUAACUCCGUGCCAGCAGCCGCGGUAAUACGGAGGAUCCGAGCGUUAUCCGGAUUUAUUGGGUUUAAAGGGAGCGUAGGUGGACUGGUAAGUCAGUUGUGAAAGUUUGCGGCUCAACCGUAAAAUUGCAGUUGAUACUGUCAGUCUUGAGUACAGUAGAGGUGGGCGGAAUUCGUGGUGUAGCGGUGAAAUGCUUAGAUAUCACGAAGAACUCCGAUUGCGAAGGCAGCUCACUGGACUGCAACUGACACUGAUGCUCGAAAGUGUGGGUAUCAAACAGGAUUAGAUACCCUGGUAGUCCACACAGUAAACGAUGAAUACUCGCUGUUUGCGAUAUACAGUAAGCGGCCAAGCGAAAGCAUUAAGUAUUCCACCUGGGGAGUACGCCGGCAACGGUGAAACUCAAAGGAAUUGACGGGGGCCCGCACAAGCGGAGGAACAUGUGGUUUAAUUCGAUGAUACGCGAGGAACCUUACCCGGGCUUAAAUUGCAGUGGAAUGAUGUGGAAACAUGUCAGUGAGCAAUCACCGCUGUGAAGGUGCUGCAUGGUUGUCGUCAGCUCGUGCCGUGAGGUGUCGGCUUAAGUGCCAUAACGAGCGCAACCCUUAUCUUUAGUUACUAACAGGUUAUGCUGAGGACUCUAGAGAGACUGCCGUCGUAAGAUGUGAGGAAGGUGGGGAUGACGUCAAAUCAGCACGGCCCUUACGUCCGGGGCUACACACGUGUUACAAUGGGGGGUACAGAAGGCAGCUAGCGGGUGACCGUAUGCUAAUCCCAAAAGCCUCUCUCAGUUCGGAUCGAAGUCUGCAACCCGACUUCGUGAAGCUGGAUUCGCUAGUAAUCGCGCAUCAGCCACGGCGCGGUGAAUACGUUCCCGGGCCUUGUACACACCGCCCGUCAAGCCAUGGGAGCCGGGGGUACCUGAAGUACGUAACCGCAAGGAUCGUCCUAGGGUAAAACUGGUGACUGGG
rnacentral:rRNA from 1 species